rnacentral:rRNA from 1 species
AACGAACGCUGGCGGCAUGCCUAACACAUGCAAGUCGAACGAGACCUUCGGGUCUAGUGGCGCACGGGUGCGUAACGCGUGGGAACCUGCCCUUAGGUUCGGAAUAACUCCCCGAAAGGGGUGCUAAUACCGGAUAAUGUCUUCGGACCAAAGAUUUCUCGCCUUUGGAUGGGCCCGCGUUGGAUUAGCUAGUUGGUAGGGUAAAAGCCUACCAAGGCGACGAUCCAUGGCUGGUCGGGGAGGAUGAUCAGCCACACUGGGAAUGAGACACGGCCCAGACUCCUACGGGAGGCAGCAGUAGGGAAUAUUGGACAAUGGGCGAAAGCCUGACCCAGCAAUGCCGCGGGAGUGAUGAAGGCCGUAGGGUUGUAAAGCUCUUUUACCCGGGAUGAUAAUGACAGUACCGGGAGAAUAAGCACCGGCUAACUCCGUG